UACGUAGGGUGCGAGCGUUAAUCGGAAUUACUGGGCGUAAAGGGUGCGCAGGCGGUUCUGCAAGUCAGGCGUGAAAGCCCCGGGCUUAACCUGGGAAUGGCGCUUGAAACUACAGGACUGGAGUAUGGCAGAGGGAGGUGGAACUCCACGUGUAGCGGUGAAAUGCGUAGAGAUGUGGAGGAACACCGAUGGCGAAGGCAGCCUCCUGGGCCAAUACUGACGCUCAUGCACGAAAGCGUGGGGAGCAAACAGG
rnacentral:rRNA from 1 species